rnacentral:rRNA from 1 species
CGCGACGUAGUUGAUCAUGGCUCGAGGACACGGCUGGCGGCGUGCUUAACACAUGCAAGUCGAGCGAACAAAGGCUCCUUCGGGAGUGGAGUUAGUGGCGACGGGUGAGUAACGCGUGGGUAACCUGCCUCACACUGGGGGGAUAACAGUUAGAAAUGACUGCUAAUACCGCAUAAGCGCACAGCUUCGCAUGAAGCAGUGUGAAAAACUCCGGUGGUAUAGGAUGGACCCGCGUCUGAUUAGAUAGUUGGUGAGGUAACGGCUCACCAAGUCGACGAUCAGUAGCCGGCCUGAGAGGGUGACCGGCCACAUUGGGACUGAGACACGGCCCAAACUCCUACGGGAGGCAGCAGUAGGGAAUAUUGCACAAUGGAGGAAACUCUGAUGCAGCCAUGCCGCGUGUGUGAAGAAGGCCUUCGGGUUGUAAAGCACUUUCAGAGGGGAGGAGAAUGACGUUACCCUCAGAAGAAGCACCGGCUAACUCCGUG